rnacentral:rRNA from 1 species
UGGGGAAUAUUGCACAAUGGGCGCAAGCCUGAUGCAGCCAUGCCGCGUGUAUGAAGAAGGCCUUCGGGUUGUAAAGUACUUUCAGCGGGGAGGAAGGGAGUAAAGUUAAUACCUUUGCUCAUUGACGCUACCCGCAGAAGAAGCACCGGCUAACUCCGUGCCAGCAGCCGCGGUAAUACGGAGGGUGCAAGCGUUAAUCGGAAUUACUGGGCGUAAAGCGCACGCAGGCGGUUUGUUAAGUCAGAUGUGAAAUCCCCGGGCUCAACCUGGGAACUGCAUCUGAUACUCGCAAGCUUGAGUCUCGUAGAGGGGGGUAGAAUUCCAGGUGUAACGGUGAAAUGCGUAGAGAUCUGGAGGAAUACCGGUGGCGAAGGCGGCCCCCUGGACGAAGACUGACGCUCAGGUGCGAAAGCGUGGGGAGCAAACAGG